rnacentral:rRNA from 1 species
AACGAACGCUGGCGGCAGGCCUAACACAUGCAAGUCGAGCGCCCCGCAAGGGGAGCGGCGGACGGGUGAGUAACGCGUGGGAACGUACCCUUUGCUACGGAAUAGCCUCGGGAAACUGGGAGUAAUACCGUAUGUGCCCUUCGGGGGAAAGAUUUAUCGGCAAAGGAUCGGCCCGCGUUGGAUUAGGUAGUUGGUGGGGUAAUGGCCUACCAAGCCGACGAUCCAUAGCUGGUUUGAGAGGAUGAUCAGCCACACUGGGACUGAGACACGGCCCAGACUCCUACGGGAGGCAGCAGUGGGGAAUCUUAGACAAUGGGCGCAAGCCUGAUCUAGCCAUGCCGCGUGAGCGAUGAAGGCCUUAGGGUUGUAAAGCUCUUUCAGUGGGGAAGAUAAAUGACUGUACCCACAGAAAGAAGCCCCGGCUAACUCCGUGCCAGCAGCCGCGGUAAAACUAACUCGUA